CAGUCGCCACGGUAACACGAAGGGGGCUAGCGUUGCUCGGAAUCACUGGGCGUAAAGGGCGCGCAGGCGGCUGUGUAAGUCUGUCUAGAAAGUGCGGGGCUAAACCCCGUGAGAGGAUGGAAACUGGACAGCUGAGAGUGUCGGAGAGGAAAGCGGAAUUCCUAGUGUAGCGGUGAAAUGCGUAGAUAUUAGGAGGAACACCGGUGGCGAAAGCGGCUUUCUGGACGACAACUGACGCUGAGGCGCGAAAGCCAGGGGAGCAAAUGGGAUUAGAUACCCGAGUAGUCCCUGUCUCUUAUAC
rnacentral:rRNA from 1 species